UACGGUGGGUGCAAGCGUUAUCCGGAUUUACUGGGUUUAAAGGGAGCGUAGGCGGGUAUGUAAGUCCGUGGUGAAAUCUCCGAGCUUAACUCGGAAACUGCCAUGGGUACUGCGUAUCUUGAAUGUUGUGGAGGUGAGCGGAAUAUGUCAUGUAGCGGUGAAAUGCUUAGAUAUGACAUAGAACACCAAUUGCGAAGGCAGCUCACUACACAAAUAUUGACGCUGAGGCACGAAAGCGUGGGGAUCAAACAGG
rnacentral:rRNA from 1 species